GACAAUCCAAUAGUUCCUGUGGCCACCCGGUGCGCUUUGCGGCUGGGGGGCUGUAACAAGACAAUGGGGUGCAAAUCCCCGCGCGACCGGCGCUGUAAGUGUCGAGACAUCUCCCUCGUUGGCGCAAGCCAGUCAUUGGGGCAACCUGAGAAGGCAGAGGGUCCUGUCGCCUGAGGCACAAGUCAGAAGACCUACAGGAAUGAAUUGUUGGCAC
rnacentral:ncRNA from 19 species